UUUUUUUAUAACAAAAUCAAAUGGCAAUAACCAAACUUAUACCUCGAGUAAAAAUGUCAACACAAAUUGAAACAAUCGUGAUUGUCGAUGAUGAAUUAGAAUUUUAUCCGCAUGAUUUUACGAAAAAAGAGUUUUUUAAUUUUUAGAUGAAAAAACUCAAGAACAAAACAAUACAAAUGAAAAUAAUAAAAAGAAAGAGAAAGAUGAUAAGGGCACACAUUUUCAAAUUAGUAAACCACAGAAAAAAAUAAAGAGUAAAGCAAAAAAGAGACGGAACCAUCAAAGAACUAUUAAAUUUAUAUAUAAUAGACAUUUUAAAAAGUUUUGAUUACUUGCAAUCAAAUUUAAAAUAAUUAAAUAUAUUUUAUUAUUGUUUAUUUGUUUUUUCUUUUUUAUAACGCUGCGUUUCUUUUGUGAAAAUUUGCACAUUGUUUGGACAGUUACACGUGUAUUAUUGAAGCCAUUGAUAACGAUUAUAAAAAAACUAAGAUAAAAUAUGUCGAGUACUUACUUUAUAUUUUCAAGCUAAUCCAGAAGAAAAAUUUAAUCCUCAAGUUAUAUUAAUAACUUUACGGAGAUGGUUGAAUGACGAACAAAAAAGAAAUAAUUCUAAUAAUUCUAAAAUAAUACAAAAUCUUGAAUUAAUUAUAAAAGUCAAGAACCAUGUAGAAACACUCAUGGAAGCUUUGUUUGUCGAUGAUAACUCAGUAUUCAAUUUAAAAAAUAUUGAUGUCGUAGACGAGAAAGAAGAAUAUGAUAUGGAUAAUGUUAAUGAUAAUGAUAUGGAUGAUUAUAAUGGUGAAGAUGAUGUUGAGGAUAUGGAAUGGAGUGUUAAUGAAGAAAUUAUAGACAAUAAAAACUAAAAAUUUGAUGACUGAAAAAACAAUCAACUCAAUGCAAACCUAUUAUGGAAAAGCUAUAAGAAGCAACUUAAACAAUGUCUAUGCCAUGAAAAAAGCAAUCUUUUCAGUGUUGUUUCACUGUACUGAGUUUACUGAUGAGAACCAGCGGCUUUGAAUGUGUUCAGUUUUAGGACAUUUUGGCUUACAUGGAAAGGCAACUGCUGAAAAAUCUAUUGCACGAGAUCACCAACGUGUUACUAGAAUUGUGUUACAAAUCUCUCAAAAGAAACAAAGCUACGGGUGCGGACGAAAUAAAUGGCAACAUAGUCAUAGAUUGCUUUGAAAACUUAAAAUGUAUUCUUUAUAAAGUUUUUAGGGUAUCUAAUUAUCGCCCUAUCUCAGUUCUUUCAAUUUUCUCAAAAUUUUUAGAAAGAAUUAUAUAUAAUAGAACAUACAAUUACCUUAAUCUAAAUAAACUUCUCAAUAAAA